rnacentral:rRNA from 1 species
GACGAACGCUGGCGGCGUGCUUAACACAUGCAAGUCGAACGGAAAGGCCCUGCUUUUGUGGGUUGCUCGUGUGGCGAGCGGGUGAGUAACACGUGAGUAACCUGCCCUUGACUUUGGGAUAACUUCAGGAAACUGGGGCUCAUACCGGAUAGGAGCUCCUGCUGCAUGGUGGGGGUUGGAAAGUGUCGGCUGUAGGGGAUGGUCUCGCGGCUUAUGAGCUUGUUGGUGGGGUAGUGGAUUACCAAGGCUUUGACGGGUAGCCGGCCUGGGAGGGGGACCGGCGACAUGAGGACUGCGAGAGGGCGCAGUCGCGAACGGGAGGCAGUAGGGGGGAGCAUGACACAGUGGGCGGACGCGUGAGACAGCAGCGUCGGGUGCGUGAUGACGGCUUUCGGGGUGAAAACCGCUGUCGCCUGAGACGAAGCGGGAGUGACGGUAAUGGGUAAAGAAGCACCGGCUAACUACGUG